rnacentral:rRNA from 1 species
UAGUCCACGCCGUAAACGUUGGGCGCUAGGUGUGGGGGCCAUUCCGCGGUCUCCGUGCCGCAGCUAACGCAUUAAGCGCCCCGCCUGGGGAGUACGGCCGCAAGGCUAAAACUCAAAGGAAUUGACGGGGGCCCGCACAAGCGGCGGAGCAUGUUGCUUAAUUCGAUGCAACGCGAAGAACCUUACCUAGGCUUGACAUGCACGGAAAUCUUCCAGAGAUGGGAGGUCCGUAAGGGUCGUGCAC